rnacentral:rRNA from 1 species
GACGAACGCUGGCGGCGUGCUUAACACAUGCAAGUCGAACGAAGAGCGAUGGAAGCUUGCUUCUAUCAAUCUUAGUGGCGAACGGGUGAGUAACGCGUAAUCAACCUGCCCUUCAGAGGGGGACAACAGUUGGAAACGACUGCUAAUACCGCAUACGAUCUAAUCUCGGCAUCGAGGAUAGAUGAAAGGUGGCCUCUACAUUUAAGCUAUCGCUGAAGGAGGGGAUUGCGUCUGAUUAGCUAGUUGGAGGGGUAACGGCCCACCAAGGCGAUGAUCAGUAGCCGGUCUGAGAGGAUGAACGGCCACAUUGGGACUGAGACACGGCCCAGACUCCUACGGGAGGCAGCAGUGGGGAAUCUUCCGCAAUGGACGAAAGUCUGACGGAGCAACGCCGCGUGAGUGAUGACGGCCUUCGGGUUGUAAAGCUCUGUUAAUCGGGACGAAAGGCAUUCUUGCGAAUAGUGAGAAGGAUUGACGGUACCGGAAUAGAAAGCCACGGCUAACUACGUG